CCACAUUUAGCUCUUGAGUGGGUAGAUAUAAAAGAAUGUAGGAAUCUCCUUAAAACUGAUAAAUGAUAAAAUUAAGGAGAAACGGGAAGAAGUUAAUUUUAAUUUCUGGCAGGUUGAGGUAGAAAUACUUUUAUGUAUCUUGCUUAGCAUGUGUUGAAGACGUGUAUUUUUUCCUUAUCUAGGAUCGCUGUCAAAUUAUCAACUUGGGAAAUGAGACGUGUGUUGAAUUUUUACACCAGUGACAGCCCAAGGAAGGGAUCGGUGUGGUUUUGGUACCAGGUGACACGGCCGUACUGUGCUUUAGCAGCUGGCUUAGUGAUCUCCAGGGAGCUGGCAGUGGUGGGGACUGGGGCUGAAGACCCGUGAGUCGCGGCUGGGCUCCGGCUCUGUGCAUCACUGUUACAGCAGCAGCUUUUGCAUGGACGGAUGAAUGCCAUUUGAUUCAGCUUGUGCUUUCUCUCUCUUGCAUCAGCAAGGCUCAUGCGCUGGUUGAGAUCUUCUAAAUUCAGCACUUCAAGGAAAAAAAAAAAAUAGGCCAUUUGAGCAACUGUGCGCAGGAGGGCUGUAGUUCUGUUGCUUAGCAGAAAGGCACCAUACGAGGCUGUAGUUGUCCAGAUCUCUCUUCCAGGUUUGCCACGGUACUGUUUCUCAAGGUGUCUUUUCUUUUGAACCUGUGACGAGGAGUGGGAUUGUUCCUUUAGCAGCCCUCGUGUGUCCGAAGCCCGGCUGGUACCCUAUCUCUCACACCUUCUGGUGAGUGCUCGACCUGAGAGCUGAUCUCCUGGCCAUGGUGUCAUCAGGAGGCUGAAGCCCUAGUGUCAGAAAUGGUCUGUUUUGUAGUAAGACAGCCCCAGAUGAGAAAAUUUUAGCCAAAACAAGGAGUGACCUUGUCAUUUGUGCUGGGUGCAGUAAUUUUGCACAUUUUCAUGAAUGUUGCUAACGUGCUAUUGCUGCUGUAUGAACCGGUCCUUGCUUAACUGUAGCACAGCACUAAGCUGUUAAUUAUAGGAGUCAGAGGAGAGGUACAGCUGCAAAUCUGCCCCGUCAGGAUUUAUCAGGCUCCAUUUUGUAAUCAAUGGUUUAUUUAUUAAACCAUCAGAAAAUCAUGCAUGCACUCUGGCCACAACAGCACGCAGCUCUGCUCGGGCAUUUUGUCUGAAUCGAUGGAAGCAAUCAUCUGCUUUACAUCAGGUAUCGAA
rnacentral:lncRNA from 1 species